AUUAAACGCUGGCGGCAUGCCUUACACAUGCAAGUCGAACGGCAGCGCGGGGCAACCUGGCGGCGAGUGGCGAACGGGUGAGUAAAGCAUCGGAACGUGCCCUGGAAUGGGGGAUAACGUAGCGAAAGUUACGCUAAUACCGCAUAUUCUGUGAGCAGGAAAGCAGGGGAUCGCAAGACCUUGCGUUCUGGGAGCGGCCGAUGUCGGAUUAGCUAGUUGGUGGGGUAAAGGCCUACCAAGGCGACGAUCCGUAGCGGGUCUGAGAGGAUGAUCCGCCACACUGGGACUGAGACACGGCCCAGACUCCUACGGGAGGCAGCAGUGGGGGAAUUUUGGACAAUGGGCGCAAGCCUGAUCCAGCCAUGCCGCGUGAGUGAAGAAGGCC
rnacentral:rRNA from 1 species